rnacentral:rRNA from 1 species
UACGUAGACCUCAAGCGUUAUCCGGAUUUAUUGGGCGUAAAGAGCAUGUAGGAGGCUUCGCGCGUUUUUGGUUAAAGCCCACCGCCUAACGGUGGAUCUGCCAAGAAUACGGCGAGACUAGAGGAAAUUAGAGGUGCAUGGAACGCACGGUGUAGGGGUGAAAUCCGUUGAUAUCGUGCGGAACACCAAAGGCGAAGGCAGUGCACUGGGAUUUUCCUGACUCUGAGAUGCGAAAGCGUGGGGAG